AACGAACGCUGGCGGCGUGCCUAACACAUGCAAGUCGAGCGAGAAAGUGGGGGCAACUCCAUGAGUAAAGCGGCGCACGGGUGAGUAACACGUAGGUAACCUGCCUUCGAGACCGGGACAACCUUCCGAAAGGAGGGCUAAUACCGGAUAAGACCACGGGGCCACGGCCCUGAGGUUAAAGAUGGCCUCUGCUUGCAAGCUAUCACUCGGAGAUGGGCCUGCGCACCAUUAGCUAGUUGGCGGGGUAAUGGCCCACCAAGGCAAAGAUGGUUAGCUGGUCUGAGAGGAUGGCCAGCCACACUGGGACUGAGACACGGCCCAGACUCCUACGGGAGGCAGCAGUGGGGAAUAUUGGACAAUGGGGGAAACCCUGAUCCAGCGACGCCGCGUGGGUGAUGAAGGCUUUCGGGUCGUAAAGCCCUGUCGGGGGGGAAGAACCUUCCGCCGGUGAAUAAUCGGCGGAAUUGACGGUACCCCCUAAGGAAGCACCGGCUAACUCCGUGCCAGCCGCCGCCGUAACAC
rnacentral:rRNA from 1 species